rnacentral:rRNA from 1 species
AUUGAACGCUGGCGGCAGGCCUAACACGUGCAAGUCGAACGGUAGCACAGAGAGCUUGCUCUCGGGUGACGAGUGGCGGACGGGUGAGUAAUGUCUGGGAAACUGCCCGAUGGAGGGGGAUAACUACUGGAAACGGUAGCUAAUACCGCAUAAUGUCGCAAGACCAAAGAGGGGGACCUUCGGGCCUCUUGCCAUCGGAUGUGCCCAGAUGGGAUUAGCUUGUAGGUGAGGUAACGGCUCACCUAGGCGACGAUCCCUAGCUGGUCUGAGAGGAUGACCAGCCACACUGGAACUGAGACACGGUCCAGACUCCUACGGGAGGCAGCAGUGGGGAAUAUUGCACAAUGGGCGCAAGCCUGAUGCAGCCAUGCCGCGUGUAUGAAGAAGGCCUUCGGGUUGUAAAGUACUUUCAGCGGGGAGGAAGGGAGUGAGGUUAAUAACCUUAUUCAUUGACGUUACCCGCAGAAGAAGCACCGGCUAACUCCGUGCCAGCAGCCGCGGUAAUACGGAGGGUGCAAGCGUUAAUCGGAAUUACUGGGCGUAAAGCGCACGCAGGCGGUCUGUCAAGUCGGAUGUGAGAUCCCCGGGCUCAACCUGGGAACUGCAUUCGAAACUGGCAGGCUGGAGUCUUGUAGAGGGGGGUAGAAUUCCAGGUGUAGCGGUGAAAUGCGUAGAGAUCUGGAGGAAUACCGGUGGCGAAGGCGGCCCCCUGGACAAAGACUGACGCUCAGGUGCGAAAGCGUGGGGAGCAAACGGGAUUAGAUACCCUGGUAGUCCACGCUGUAAACGAUGUCGACUUGGAGGUUGUUCCCUUGAGGAGUGGCUUCCGGAGCUAACGCGUUAAGUCGACCGCCUGGGGAGUACGGCCGCAAGGUUAAAACUCAAAUGAAUUGACGGGGGCCCGCACAAGCGGUGGAGCAUGUGGUUUAAUUCGAUGCAACGCGAAGAACCUUACCUACUCUUGACAUCCAGAGAACUUAGCAGAGAUGCUUUGGUGCCUUCGGGAACUCUGAGACAGGUGCUGCAUGGCUGUCGUCAGCUCGUGUUGUGAAAUGUUGGGUUAAGUCCCGCAACGAGCGCAACCCUUAUCCUUUGUUGCCAGCGGUCCGGCCGGGAACUCAAAGGAGACUGCCAGUGAUAAACUGGAGGAAGGUGGGGAUGACGUCAAGUCAUCAUGGCCCUUACGAGUAGGGCUACACACGUGCUACAAUGGCAUAUACAAAGAGAAGCGACCUCGCGAGAGCAAGCGGACCUCAUAAAGUAUGUCGUAGUCCGGAUUGGAGUCUGCAACUCGACUCCAUGAAGUCGGAAUCGCUAGUGAUCGUGGAUCAGAAUGCCACGGUGAAUACGUUCCCGGGCCU